rnacentral:rRNA from 1 species
UACGGAGGGGGCUAGCGUUGUUCGGAAUUACUGGGCGUAAAGCGUGCGCAGGCGGCGCGUUAAGACAGGUGUGAAAGCCCCGAGCUUAACUUGGGAAUUGCGCUUGUGACUGGCGUGCUGGAGUGUGGGCAGAGGGAGGUGGAAUUCCACGUGUAGCAGUGAAAUGCGUAGAGGUGUGGAGGAACACCGAUGGCGAAGGCAGCCUCCUGGGCCAGCACUGACGCUCAUGCACGAAAGCGUGGGGAGCAAACAGG